ensembl:lncRNA novel transcript
UCAACUCAAUUGAUUACUUUUAAAUGGGUUGUCUUUUUCUUAGUUUAUGAAAGCUUUUGUAGAUUAUAUCUUUUAAGAAUAACAUUUCUGCAUCAUAACUGUUAACAUACACACACACACACACACACACACACACACACACACACGCACGCACACACUCACUGUUCCCCAGUCUGUCAAUUUGCCAUUUGACUUUACGGUAUGUUUUUCAAUCUAUAAUUUGCCAACUAAGCUAUCUUUUCCUUUCUGGUUUUAUGAUCUCCUGCUUAAACUCCUCCCUCCCCAUUUUCCCUACCCAGAUACAUGACAUGCAGACAAUAUACAAAUAUUCUCCUAA